ACGGUCGAUGAAACGGAAAACCCAAAAACUCAAAGCAAGCGCGUGCCUGGGAAUAAAAUCGUAAAGAGAAAUGGAAUAUUAUAUGAAAUAUACGUUAAAGAAAUUCCAAAUACAUUUGUAACACAGAUUGCAUAGCAUGAAGUGAUGCUGUAGAAGACAAAGACAAGCGUUGUUUGGAAGCGGAAAAUAGAAACAAAAUCCAACAACAACAAUAAAUCAAUAAAUCAAAAUCAAGCAACAACAAAAUCGAAAAUAACUCAAGAAAAUUUCCUAACACCAUAAAAUAAAAAAGUAGCAGUAAAAGUCUAUGUUAUCAGUUGCUGUCCUACUUUAGCUAUUAUGCCAACGCAGCGAAAGUAAGCAACGCCAACUAGGACAAUAUGACAUGUGUACGAUUAAUUUUGAUGAUCCGUUAACAAGUUAUAAUGCAUAACGCUACACCACAACAAGGCGCUUCUGGAGAUUCAUGGUUUAUUAAUAUUUUUCAUUGAAAAUUUUUUCUAAUAUACUUCAAAAGUUGUACAAUAAUAUGUCAUUAAAUUUAAUAAAAUUAUAUUACUGAUGUCGCCGCAAAAAAAGACAAAUAUAUCCUUUUUUUUCACACAUAUAAUGCAUAUCAUUUCUAUUUGUGUGCAAAUAUGCCAGCGCCGUCGUCUACUGUUGCCACUCAACAGUGAGGCUAAGGUUAAGGAGAACGGAAGACAUUAUUACUGUCGCAGGCAUUCACACACAUUUACGAACACAAGUGGAAAGCACAUGCCGGAAGCUAACGUAUGCGAUUAAAAUUAAACGAGACAGGCCAGCUGGCAGAAAAAGAGGCAAAUCGAUGUCAUUAGCAUGAACCCUAUGUCAGAGCGACGCGAAGGCAGCACACGUGUCAUUGAAUGGAGCUCUUCCAUCGAAUGUCAGUGGCUGACAGCAGUCUUUGCACAGGUUGUUAUUAUUACUGCGUUUGUUUUUUGUUGUUAUUAUAAUGCCAUGUCAGUUUUUUGAUUGCCGUCUACUUAUUUGGUUA